UAGUCUGGUCCUGCGCAGACCGCGCUCUAGUCAUUGUGCAUCAUGGUGUGGAUUAAAAUAAAAAAAAUAAAAAUAAAAUAAAAAACCAGCCAGGAGCCCAGUGGUGGUACAGAGAACCAGAGCAACUUUAAUGGCCGUACACUGUAAGAACACGGGUGUCGUUCACAGCUGCAGUCUGACUGUCAGGUCGUUGACGUUGUCCUACAGCAGCGUUAGUCAUAGUUGACCAAAAACACCGUGUGUACGUGUCACCCCGAAGAACUGUCCUUUCACAGAGCUGUCAUUUCUGAGGCAGAAAUACUUCAUGUCAAAGUUUUUAUUUUUAUUCUCCUUUCUUCAUCUUUUUUUUUUUUUUACAGUAUCUUGUAAAUGCAGCUCACGGUGUACGGCGGUGCUCAGGUGAACAAAGUACAACAAUAACUGUUGCAUUAAUCAGAGAAAUCGCACACACAUCUACACACACACACACACAAAAACAGCACUUUAAAAGAACACACAGGGGUGUGUGUACGUCUUCAGUCUGAUCCUGAUAUAAAUGGAGUGGACCGUCUCAGACUAGUCUUCAGGAAUAGUUCUCCCAAAAUGGUCCUUGAUCACUGUUUAAUAAUUUACUCACUUUCACUCCAGCACUCGAAGCAGCCGUCUCUCUCUCUCUCUCUCUCUCUCUCUCUCUCUCUCUCUGGGCUUGUAGAUUUUUUUUUCUCUGAACUUUAACUACAUAAUGUGGUGUGCGUUUAAACGAGGGCUGUGAAACGAUUAAAAUGUCCGAUCCGAUUGGUAGCUGUCGAUUAACCGUGUCAGACAGUAGCUGGUAGAACAUGUCGUAGAACGUGUCGUAGAACAUGUCGUAGAACAUGUCGUAGAACGUGUCGUAGAACAUGUCGUAGAACAUGUCGUAGAACAUGUCGUAGAUUGUGUCGUAGAACAUGUCGUAGAACGCGUGCUCAGUGAGGCCGGUGCGACACCUGCUGGACGUCUGACCUGACGCUGAGAAUUGAGACGGUAUUUUUUUGGCUCGCUUUUCUCGCAGUGUGUGUAAAUACUGCAAAAAAUGUGUGUGUCAGAGCAACGAUGGAAGUGGACGGAGAGUGGAAUUAUGGGAUAGAUCAUCCGGUCGUACUGACAAUGUUAAUAAAUAAAAUUAAAGCUGUUUGACAGCCCAAGUUUAAACACAUAAACGUUAACAAAUA